rnacentral:SRP_RNA from 1 species
ACAGGGCAUGACGGUGAAUGCCUGUAAGCCCAGCUCCUGGGAAGUCUGAGACUAGCAGAUCUCUUAGGCGCUGAAGUUCUGAGCUACAGUGGACUAUGCAAAUUGGGUGUCUGUAUUAAGUUUGGCAAUAAUAAGGUGAGAGCCUAGGAAUGGGGUGCUACCAGGUCGCCUAAGGAGAGGGGAACUGAUCCUGGUCAGAAAUGGAGCAGGUCAAAGCUCCUGUGACAUCAGUGGUGGGAUUGGGCCGGGGAGCUGCUACUGUGUACUACCCUGGGUGAGAUGGGGAGAUGCAGUCUUU